rnacentral:lncRNA from 1 species
GCCCCCGCAGGAAGGCGCGCUCCCCCCGCCUUCAGCCCAGUGACUCAGCAUCUCAGACAAACUCAGCAGUAUAGGAACAGUAUAGUAUAUAUCACAAAACUCAAGGGCUUUGCUGAGGCCCUGUGGUAGAGAAUUUCGACAUUUCCUGGACUUUCUAAACUUGUCUCCACUCUCUGAUCCUCCUAGGAUCCGGUGCACGGGCUAGGUCAUCUUGCUGAAGAAGGCACUUGAGGCUGAUUUCGGCAGGCUCUUGUUCGCUUUCUGCACCAGGUUCAGAUUGUGGUUAAUCUGUGGCUGUGGAUCCCAAGAACGGUCUCCAGCUCGCGGACCUGUUGGUUUUUUACUCUGCGGUUUGCAUUGCUUGCCAAAAAAUCCCUUGGCUGUUGAAUUACUCGAGACAGGUCCUUGUUAUGUAUCCCUGGCUGUCCUGGAAUUGGCAAUGUAGACCAGAGUGCUGGAAUUUAAGGCUGCACCAACGUUCAGUUCCUAUCAGGAGAAGUUGAAGCCUAGACUGGAUAUCUUGACCUUUCACUCCAAGCAGUCAUGGAUCCCUCACUCCUUCCGUCCUCUGUGUCCAUCUCCUCCUGCCUUGACUGAAGCUGCUUCCUUUAGGACCUGCUUCACUUCACUGUGCUCCUGCUUAACUCUGACCCUUUAUACAGUGUGUCAGACAAAGUCCCUGCUUUGUCCGUGUAGACUCUUUCAGUGGCUCCUCAUCUCUAAGCAAAAAUCAAGAUCUUCACAAUGAUUUGCAAGCCACUGGGUGGAUUUCCUUUUCUCCGAUGUCACCUCUACGAUUUCUUCCCCUCAUCGGCUGGCUCCACUCCAGCCACAUGUACCUUCCAUUUGUGGGACACCUCUGAGUGCUCUUGUCUCAGAUUUUACCGUGUCUCUUCCCUUUGAUAGACCACUUUCCUUCCAGGUAGCAAACUGGCUCAUUUUUGCCCCUUCAUGCUUUUACUCAAAUGUAAUAAAAGCCGAUUUUUUUUUUUUUUUGGUUCUUUUUUUCGGAGCUGGGGAUCGAACCCAGGGCCUUGCGCUUCCUAGGCAAGCGCUCUACCACUGAGCUAAAUCCCCAACCCAGCCAAUUAUUUUCUUAACCAUCUGCUUAAAGGAAAUGCUUAUUUCCAAAAUGUAUAUAUAUUUCUGAUAUGUAUAUAUUUUUAAAAUAUGUAUAUAUUUUAAAAAUUUGUACACAUGGGCUGGUAAGAUGGCUCAGUGGUUAAGAGCACUGGGUACUCUCCCAGACGUCCUGAGUUCAAAUCCCAGCAACCACAUGGUGGCUCACAAUCAUCUGUAAUGAGAUUCGAUGCCCUCUUCUGGUGUGUCUGAAGACAGCUACAGUAUACUCAUGUAUAAUAAAUAAAGAAAUCUUUUUUAAAAAAUAUAUACAUAUACUUUCAUUUUUAUUA